CCCAAUCCAAGAAGUAGACUUCUUACUUCUAAUCACUUCUCUCUACGCUCUGCAUAAUUUCUUCUGUGUUUGCCGAUGGAGUAUCGGAAUUCGUCAAGGGAUUGGGAUGAUUCUCCAUUCUAAUUCACACUAGCUGAGGCAAGAUCUUAUGCUAUGCUUGAGUUUAUGUCUUUCAAUCGAUGCGUCCGAGUCUAGUUUUCCUGUUCGAGUUAUGCGCAGAACUUCCUUACUGCAUUUUCUGAUUUGAAAUUGCCGAUUUCGAUUUUGUAUUUCCAUUUAUUGUGCCGCUAAUUGUAGAGAUUGUGGAGAUGGAUAAUAUCUUAAAGGACUCUGAAGAUCGAACACUUGGUCAAGUGCUUUUCCAAGAUUUGGUACUUCAUUUCAGUUGCUCCCCGUGGCGCGCUAGAAAAUCUCCCGUCACUGCGGUACAGGUCUUCGAUUUUUUUCUUAUCCAUUGUGUCUGUUGAUAUUUGGUAAUUCUUAUCUGCCUAGGUGCAUGACUGGUUCGAGAUUCAGAAAAAUUAAUUGCGAAGUAGUUGUAAAAAAGCGCGGCCUCCACCUCUACCUUCGUCAUCACCUUCGCCUCCGACUCCGCCUCCGAAACUUGUACUUAAUUAUUCGGACACUACUUUUUUAACUGACGCACCGUCAUCUGGACCACCUGAAUUCAAAGUCAUUCAGGAUGUUACACCCUUGAUAAGACUGACAUUCAGUUCAAAUCCUGUAAGAAAGCUUUACAGAAGUCGGGAUAUAGAUUACUUAGCUCCACGGAGUUAGAAACAAAGUUGAAAAAGUGGUUGAAAGUUGGCUGCAAUGAUAUUUACAUGGUAACUUUGGUACAUGUGAUAAUAAUUAGAUUUUGAUUUUUAUCGUCUAACAUAGAGCUUUUAUACUCAAUUUUCUUACCCUGAUGCCAAUGUAAAGUUGAUGGUUCAUGCCUAUACAUGUCGAAACCAUAAAAGCUCUAGCAUUAUUUCCUGCUUCAACUAACCCGUAAUGUCUAUGUUUAGUUAUCUUGCUCUAUUUACAGUCAGUAUUAUCAUUGAGAUGUAUCUAUUACUCUUGUUGAUGUAUGGUAUAUGGCAAUGGCAUAGAUUAUGGACCUAUCAUAUAUCAUUAUCAGAUGAAAAGAUUUUAUGAAAUGCUUGUCUCUUCUAGUUUCAACUCGAUGGUUUACAGAAAAGUCGUUGAUACUUUGAAUAUAAGCACAUCAGUCUGCUUUCCAGCAAGCUCUGUUACUGCUUGAUCUUCUUUGGUCAAGACUCGUGAUUUUUGCUAUUGAAUUUGAGGAAUCUUACUAAUGUUCCUUUGAC